UAUAUUUGCACCCGAGAAAAAUUUCUCGUACAUAAUAAUCAUUGAAAUAUAUUUGCAUG
rnacentral:ncRNA from 1 species